rnacentral:rRNA from 1 species
CCGCUCCGGGAGAGCCUCGCGGCCUAUCAGCUAGUUGGUGGGGUAACGGCCCACCAAGGCGUCGACGGGUAGCUGGUCUGAGAGGACGAUCAGCCACACUGGGACUGAGACACGGCCCAG